UACGGAGGGUGCAAGCGUUGUCCGGAAUCACUGGGCGUAAAGGGCGCGUAGGCGGCUCAUGAAGGCUGUGGUGAAAGUCCGGGGCUCAACCUCGGAUCGGCCGUGGCGACUCGUGGGCUGGAGCACUGUAGAGGCGGGUGGAAUUCCGGGUGUAGCGGUGGAACGCGUAGAGAUCCGGAAGAACACCAGUGGCGAAGGCGGCCCGCUGGGCAGUGGCUGACGCUGAGGCGCGACAGCGUGGGGAGCAAACAGG
rnacentral:rRNA from 1 species